GGGCUCGUAGCUUAGUCUGGAAGAGCAUCUGCCUCUUAAGCAGAGGGUCGGGGGUUCAAAUCCCCCCGGGCUCA
rnacentral:tRNA from 4 species